CCUACGGGUGGCAGCAGUGAGGAAUAUUGGUCAAUGGUCGGGAGACUGAACCAGCCAAGCCGCGUGAGGGAGGAAGGUACAGAGUAUCGUAAACCUCUUUUGUCAGGGAACAAAGACUGGGACGCGUCCCCGGAUGAGUGUACCUGAAGAAAAAGCAUCGGCUAACUCCGUGCCAGCAGCCGCGGUAAUACGUAGGGUGCGAGCGUUAAUCGGAAUUACUGGGCGUAAAGGGUGUGCAGGCGGCUGAGUAAGACAGAUGGGAAAUCCCCGGGCUUAACCUGGGAACCGCAUAUGUGACUGCUUGGCUAGAGUGCGUCAGAGGGAGGUGGAAUUCCACGUGUAGCAGUGAAAUGCGUAGAUAUGUGGAAGAACACCGAUGGCGAAGGCAGCCUCCUGGGACGCAACUGACGCUCAUACACGAAAGCGUGGGGAGCAAACAGGAUUAGAUACCCCAGUAGUC
rnacentral:rRNA from 1 species